rnacentral:rRNA from 2 species
GCAUCCGUAGCCGGUUGCAUAAGUUUUCGGUUAAAUCUAUGCGCUCAACGUAUAGGCCGCCGAAAAUACUGUGCAGCUAGGGAGUGGGAGAGGUACACGGUACUCAGUAGGAAGGGGUAAAAUCCUUUGAUCUAUUGAUGACCACCUGUGGCGAAGGCGGUGUACCAGAACACGUUCGACGGUGAGGGAUGAAAGCUGGGGGAGCAAACCGGAUUAGAUACCCGGGUAGUCCCAGCUGUAAACGAUGCAGACUCGGUGAUGCAUUGGCUUGUGGCCAAUGCAGUGCCGCAGGGAAGCCGUUAAGUCUGCCGCCUGGGAAGUACGUACGCAAGUAUGAAACUUAAAGGAAUUGGCGGGGGAGCACAAGCCG